ensembl:lncRNA
AAAUCUUGGCAGAAAAAUGGGUUGCAUGGUCUACCCUCUCUACAGUUUGAAGAAACAAAACAUACUACGAGCCACGAUUUCCACAAACUUUAGCAUCCAGCUUACCAUGGGGUGGCAGGGAAGGUCAGGUCAUUGGGCAGGAACAGGACCGUCUGUGUGAGCUAUCACAGAGGAGUGUGGUUAUCCGAAGGGUUUAAUCUUUGACCUCAACUGUGGUACGAGCUGUAGCUUUUCCUCAAUCCUGAGACCCGAUAGACACCAUCAGGAGGGCUGACAGGGGCUUGAUAAAGGGAAGCUCAAGCGCAGCUAUAACAGCCUGUUGCUAUGUUGCUGGUGCAACCUGUGCAAAGUCUGAGCAAACAUCCUGUCAGCAGUGCUGGGCAGGGCAACCACCUCCCACGCUGGGCUGAAGAUUUAGAAGCAGAAAAGAUGAGCACUAGCCUCAGAAUGUCAGGAUGUUACGGCUCUUUUGCUAUGGAAAACCUCAGCAGAAAGAAGGUGCACACUGGGGAGUGUCAAUCUUUCUUCCUUUGGCUCUGUCACAGUCCCAUUUCUCCCCCUUGGAAGGGAAUCCAGCUUCCCAUUUAGAACUUUCACAGGACUUCUCUGUGCCCAGACUGAGGAGGAACGUCAGGUAUUUCAGGGAAUAUUUCCUUCCUGAAAUAGGAAGAGGCACUUCGCUC